rnacentral:rRNA from 1 species
CUUGCGGCGUGCUUAACACAUGCAAGUCGAACGGAAAGGCCCUGCUUUUGUGGGGUGCUCGAGUGGCGAACGGGUGAGUAACACGUGAGUAACCUGCCCUUGACUUUGGGAUAACUUCAGGAAACUGGGGCUAAUACCGGAUAGGAGCUCCUGCUGCAUGGUGGGGGUUGGAAAGUUUCGGCGGUUGGGGAUGGACUCGCGGCUUAUCAGCUUGUUGGUGGGGUAGUGGCUUACCAAGGCUUUGACGGGUAGCCGGCCUGAGAGGGUGACCGGCCACAUUGGGACUGAGAUACGGCCCAGACUCCUACGGGAGGCAGCAGUGGGGAAUAUUGCACAAUGGGCGGAAGCCUGAUGCAGCAACGCCGCGUGCGGGAUGACGGCCUUCGGGUUGUAAACCGCUUUCGCCUGUGACGAAGCGUGAGUGACGGUAAUGGGUAAAGAAGCACCGGCUAACUACGUGCCAGCAGCCGCGGUGAUACGUAGGGUGCGAGCGUUGUCCGGAUUUAUUGGGCGUAAAGGGCUCGUAGGUGGUUGAUCGCGUCGGAAGUGUAAUCUUGGGGCUUAACCCUGAGCGUGCUUUCGAUACGGGUUGACUUGAGGAAGGUAGGGGAGAAUGGAAUUCCUGGUGGAGCGGUGGAAUGCGCAGAUAUCAGGAGGAACACCAGUGGCGAAGGCGGUUCUCUGGGCCUUUCCUGACGCUGAGGAGCGAAAGCGUGGGGAGCGAACAGGCUUAGAUACCCUGGUAGUCCACGCUGUAAACGGUGGGUACUAGGUGUGGGGUCCAUUCCACGGGUUCCGUGCCGUAGCUAACGCUUUAAGUACCCCGCCUGGGGAGUACGGCCGCAAGGCUAAAACUCAAAGGAAUUGACGGGGCCCCGCACAAGCGGCGGAGCAUGCGGAUUAAUUCGAUGCAACGCGUAGAACCUUACCUGGGUUUGACAUGGAUCGGGAGUGCUCAGAGAUGGGUGUGCCUCUUUUGGGGUCGGUUCACAGGUGGUGCAUGGCUGUCGUCAGCUCGUGUCGUGAGAUGUUGGGUUAAGUCCCGCAACGAGCGCAACCCUUGUUCACUGUUGCCAGCACGUUAUGGUGGGGACUCAGUGGAGACCGCCGGGGUCAACUCGGAGGAAGGUGGGGAUGACGUCAAGUCAUCAUGCCCCUUAUGUCCAGGGCUUCACGCAUGCUACAAUGGCUGGUACAGAGAGUGGCGAGCCUGUGAGGGUGAGCGAAUCUCGGAAAGCCGGUCUCAGUUCGGAUUGGGGUCUGCAACUCGACCUCAUGAAGUCGGAGUCGCUAGUAAUCGCAGAUCAGCAACGCUGCGGUGAAUACGUUCCCGGGGCUUGUACACACCGCCCGUCAAGUCAUGAAAGUUGGUAACACCCGAAGCCGGUGGCCUAACCGUUGUGGGGGAGCCGUCGAAGGUGGGACUGGUGAUUAG